CAGACCUUGAAGGUGCAAAGGUUGACAAAGUUCACAUAUUUUAAGGGAAAACUUGCGUUAAUAUUUAAUUUCACGUUCUGCGAUCGAAAAUAUAAGUAAACAUGAACAAUCACAAUUGUCAAAAGCGCAGAUUUUUAUUCUUUAAUUUAUCUAUCGAAUGUGAAUCGAAAAAAAUUCGAACUAAGGCUUACCUGCACGUUAAUGCAAUUCUCAAUACACACGCCAUAUUGGACACGACUACUACACAGAUAUCACGCGUCUUCUGGAACCAGAAAAUUAUGCGAUUAGCGUCGCAUAAACAUGAAAUGGAUCAUUGCUGUCACUCGAAUAGAUGCGUUUGUUGAAUUAAGAUAAAACUACUGUAAGGAAUACCAAUUACCAUAACACUACACAAUCUUAUAAUAAAUUACAUAUUUAUAUUUCAAAA